GCGCCAAAGUGUCAUGGCCGCCGGCUGUUUGAUGUCGCUUGUUUCGCUAACUGAUUUGUGUCGAUUCAUCGGCCUAACGGGAAUGUUAUAAAUAUAAUUAUGUGAAAAGGACAAGAUGGAUAUCGGGCAUUAUAUUGUGAUACAUGGUAAUGUAUGACAUUGUUAUAUAAAUGUGUUUCGGGCGUGAACUCUACAAGGGAGCUGGUCUCAUUUUUUGACACUCUCAGUCGGAAACGACGUGCGAAAGACUGGAAUCGCCUGGACCGUAACAUUGCCCCCUUCCUCGGAGAAGUUCGUCCCGAACGCUAAAACGGUUAUCCAACACACACUGACUCUGACGUGAUUGACUUUGCCAAUGUUAUCUUCCAUGUGAUGACUGGAAAUAAGGAAAGAACAACUCACUUCUGCAGUGGUAAACGUGGAUAUUAUUGCCACAAGAUUAAUUUUUAUUUUAAUACAGAUUUCGACACGGAUGACAAUGAUGAUGAUAAGGAUGAUGAUGACGACGAUGACGAUAUUGAUGAUAAAAGUAGAUCUUGGAUUAUGGAAACUGGUGUCUUCGUCUUCUCUGGUGAAAUUGGUGAUUUCUCUGACAACACUGGUGUUUUUUCUGACGAAAUUGGUUUUUUCUGUAAAGGAACCGAUGUCUUGUCUGAUGCAGCUGAUGUCUUCUGUACGGUAUCGGGUUCCACUGAUCCGAGAAUGAGAUCUACUGGAAGACGGAUGUUGCGGCCGAAGACCAUUUCACAUGGAGAAACGCCCAGUGAUUCGUGUUCUGCAGAAGGACACGCUGACAUGGGAAGGGAAGAGGAAGAUAAUGGAUUUUUGUUUAAUUGGUCUAUUGGAGCACUUGUGCAAGCCAAAACAUUAAGGUUUUCAUUGGAGGUUUGCUUGUUGGAGCCUCUGGAAGACUUUUUCUAAAUUGGAUAAGUGCUCGUCAAAGGAUUUUGCAAAGAUAAUGAUAUCAUCCAGGGGGACGCGACGAGGAUGCUGACGAAUUGGUGGAGCACAACCAGUAUUAAUCCAAUGCUCAGCUUCAUUGGUGAUGCCUAUAUCAGAUGAAUCUUUGGAAAAGGAGCUACGUGAUGAUUGCUGCAAUGGUUGUCCCUUAUUUAGGGUAUUUAUCAAGUGUUUGGUAGUUUUAUCCAAUGAUGUGAUUGAACCAUUCAAGAUUUUUCCGUUGAUCCAAAACGAAUACUUAGGAGGGUUGUGAGGGUAUGGAAAUCCGUUCUCUGGAUAGUAUUUAAUUCUGACAAGAUUGUCCUGGCGUUUCCAGACAAACUACUGGCUAGUUCCUGAGACAUCACCAUCAACUGAUUCUACCGAGGGCAUAUCCGGAUCAGUGUCUGGGAUAAUUUCGAACUCUGGGGACAAGGAUUUGGUGGCCAUUUUUAUAGAUGUAUUUAGAAUCUAUUACUACUAUUAUUAAUAUUAAUAAAGGAACCUAAUUCAUUUAUUUA